rnacentral:tRNA from 1 species
GGGCUCGUAGCUCAGUUGGUAGAGCAGCGGACUUUUAAUCCGCGGGUCCACGGUUCAAGUCCGUGCGGGCUCA